UGAAUUCAGAGGAGGAUAAACAUUGCAAAGCAUAAGUAGAUAACGCAUUUAACAGAUAACAGUUAUUACUAUUAUUAUUAUUAGCACCAGUCAAUAGUGGCAACAAGCUCUUACGUUGGUCUUUCAAGAUCAAUUCAACUUGUUGACCAUCAGUUCACCUCCCACUUUCUUUGACUGGAUGCUACAGCGUGUCAGAACGCUGAUCAAAUGACUCAGGCUGUAAGAGGACUUUCAAAGGGUCACGUUUCAUGAAAAUAACAAAACAAAAUUGGGAGUACGGAACCAGUGCAAGAGAGAGGAGAGGUGGAGGCCUACACUGGAGAGAAGAGGAAUGAAGGUUGGUAGGAGCGAGACCUGUGUGUAAAUGACAGUGAGACAGGUGGUGUGGUUUAAUACCUGGGGUCAACCAUCUUUGGACAGUGCACAAGAGAGGGGAAGAAGAGAAUGCAGACAGGGUGGCGUGGGUGGAGA